CUGCUCAGAGGUAAACGGAUGGGCCCUCGAAAUCCUGUGGCGGGAGGAUUCAGUCGGACGAUGCGGGUGCGGAUGCGUGCUGGCUUUGAAUAACGAUCUCCUUUUGAGGAAACGGCCGCGUGCACAGUGCCUGCGUCGGACGACGCAUUUGCUUCCCGUCCGAAGGACGCCGCAACCGGUUGGGAGACGGCCUUAAAGGUAGCCGCUGGCAGGUGACUGACUGUGUGCGCGCGAUUCGUCGUGUGCGCGUAGUUUGCGUUAUAGCCUGGCAUGCCGGAUGGCUCGUAACCCGACCGAGGUAUCGCAAAGGCCCUCAUGGGCAAAAUCKAUCGUCUCCUCUGUGAAAUGAUUUCGGACGCAUGAAUGGCGACAGCGGCUCGAAGGCCUUGAGGGCACACGGCAACGAAWCCGUGGCCCACGWCGGUCUCGCCCACGAUGGUUGCCCGCGACGUCCGUUGGAGGUUGGCGGUUGGCGGCGAGUAAAUCGGUCACCCAUCCGACCC
rnacentral:rRNA from 1 species